rnacentral:lncRNA from 1 species
GGGGGACGGACCGGGGCGCGCGCGGUCCGGGGGGACGCUGGAGGGAGGGCGCGGGAUGGAGGGAUCGCGGGGGUCCCAGGACGGAGAGGUCGCGCCGGGCGCGCUCGGAACACGCAGGAAAUUCUCCCCGAGGCGUGGGCUCCGCGGGGCUUCCCCGCCGGUUCGCUGAGUCCCAGCUCCGCUCGGCCGGGACCUCCGUGGCAGGCUCGGGGAGCCCGCGGGGGGCAGAGGCGCCGACCUCCGCCUGGGACCGAGAGGAACCCGCGCCCUGCCCUGCCCCGCCCGGCGCGCGUGGGCCUGAGUCAGGCGCCUCAGCACGGGGACCCCCGGGCCGGCCUUCACGCCGCAGAGCCGCUGCAGGUACGUUCACGGAAGUGGCACACUGCAUGCGUCCAGUGAGUCAAUGUGGCACCGCCUACAUGCGUGUCACUGGCCGGUGGGACAUUCAAAUCAUUCAUACGGGGUCUAAACGAGACAGAGCGUGGCCGAGACAGGAAAGACAGGAAGCGCUGUGCUGCUUGGAAAUGGUCCACCAGGUGCAGCAGUAGCUGCAAGAAAGGAACAGGAAGAACGGUGUGUUCAAAGCUCUACCAUUUGUGUAGAAAAGGGAGAAAAACACGUUUCCUUUGUGUGUGUCAAAGGCAUCGAAUGUCUGGAAUGAUCCAGCACCGGCUACACUGGUUGACCUUGGAGGAGGAGAGGCGGGGUGGGGAUGGGGAUGGCCGCAGGGACCAUACCUGUUUGUACCUUUUGAACGCCGCAGCGGGUGGUGAGGGUUUACGGAGCGGGGGAGGGGAAGCUGACUCCACGAGCCCAGACCCCUGAAGGCCAGAGCAGCGGAGGUGGAGGGUGUUGGCCGGGGAGGAAGGAAGCCCCGGCUGAGCCUUAAAGAGACCCUUUGUUUCCCGGGAAUCCCAGCUGGGCCGUCCUCAGCCCCGACUGAGGGGAAAGGGGGGCUCCCAGGGGUUCUCAUUUUAAAGGCACGGAGGUCAGAUUGCAGAUUUUGCUGAGCCGUGAUUUGAGUGUGCUGUGCCGGACUGCACCCAGCAACCAAGGUCAGCACCAGCACCCAGGACUGCUCCAGACCCAGUCCCUGCUCCAGGCUGGGCCCAAGCCCCCCUCCUCCCACUGCCCUCCCCUGAGUGAGUCACCUUAGUCUGAGGUUCCUGUGCCCCAAGUCACCCACCGGAGAGGGAGAGAAGCGGCAGAGCCCCCACUUCCAGUGCUCCAGCUGAGGGCUGGUGAACUUGAAGGUGGGUAAGAAUCCCCAGACGGAAGUCCAGAGACGUCUGCUAAGUCACAGAGUGUUGGCAAUGGAGAGACUCUUCUGUAACAGGAAACACAGCUCAGUCAGGCUACUGGUCAGGGAAACAAAACAAGCCACUUUGUCAAAAAACAGCCACGCAGCCCUUGCCACAACAGAUGCUCACACUUUGCUGGCAGGCAUGUGAACCCCCUCAACCUUCUGAAAAUUAUUGUGCCAACAUUAAAAUGUAAUGGAGAGGGCCGGGCGCGGUGUCUCACGCCUGUAAUCCCAGUACUUUGGGAGGCUGAGGCCGGCGGAUCACGAGGUCAGGAGAUCGAGACCAUCCUGGGCUAACAUGGUGAAACCCCUUCUCUACUAAAAAUAUAAAAAGUUAGCCGGGCGUGGUGGCAGGUGCCUGUAGUCCCAGCUACUCCAGAGGCUGAGGCAGGAGAAUGGCGUGAACCCAGGAGGUGGAGGUUGCAGUGAGCCAAGAUUGCGCCACUGCACUCCAGCCUGGGCGACAGAGCGAGACUCCAUCUCAAAAAAAAAAAAAAAGUAACGGAGAGGCCGUACGCGGUGGCUAAUGCCUAUAAUCCCAGCACUUUGGGAGGCUAAGGUGGGCGGGUCACCUGAGGUCAGGAGUUUAAGAUCAGCCUGGCCAACAUGGCGAAUUAUUUUUGUCUCUACUAAAAAUAUAAAAAUUAGCCAGGCAUGGUGACAUGAGCCUGUAAUCCCAGCUACUCAGGAGGCUGAGGCAGGAGAAUCACUUGAACCCGGGAGGUGGAGCUUGCAGUGAGCAGGGAUCAGGCCACUGCACUCCAGCCUGGGCAACCAGAGCAAGUCUCCAUCUCAAAAAAAAAAAAAAUGUAAUGGAGAACACUAAGGCCUAGAGACAGACACACAAGGAUGUUUGCAGCAGAACUGCUUGUAUUUGGAAAAACCUGGGCGCUCCAUGAGGGCAAUGGGUAAAUAAAUCAUGCUAUAAUAUACUCUGAUUUUUUUUUUUUUUUUUUUUUUGAGACGGAGCCUCACUGUCGCCCAGGCUGGAGUGCAGUGAUGCGAUCUCGGCUCACGCAAGCUCCACCUCCCGGGUUCACGCCAUUCUCCUGCCUCAGCCUCCCGAGUUGCUGGGACUACAGGCGCCCGCUACCAUUCCUGGCUAAUUUUUUUUGUUUUUAGUAGAGAUGGGAUUUCACCCUGUUAGCCAGGAUGGUCUCGAUCUCCUGACCUCAUGAUCCGCCCGCCUCGGCCUCCCAAAAUGCUGGGAUUACAGGCAUGAGCCACAGCGCCCGGCCUACUCUGAUUUUUUUUUUUUUUUUUUUUUUUUGAGAUGGAAUCUCGCUCUGUCGCCCAGGCUGGAGUGCAGUGGCGCGAUCCUGGCUCACUGCAAGCUCCGCCUCCCAGGUUCACGCCAUUCUCCUGCCUCAGCCUCCCGAGUAGCUGGGACUACAGGCGCCUGCCAACACACCCGGCUAAUUUUUUGUAUUUUUAGUAGAGACGGGGUUUCACCAUGUUAGCCAGGAUGGUCUCGAUUUCCUGACCUCGUGAUCUGCCCAUCUCAGCCUCUCAAAGUGCUGGGAUUACAGGCGUGAGCCACCGCGCCCGGCCUACUCUGAAUAUUUAUGCAACUUUUAGAUGGGUCUAUAAAUGUGUCUUCAGAAGGAAUGUCAGUAAAGUGAAAAAUCCAGUUGCUGGAUAACAGGGACGCAUCGUAUUUCCAAACAAACAGGAAGACCCUCAAGCCCCCUCCCCAGGUCCCCCUCUAGUGAGCCUGGGUGAGGGUAGACUCCAGCUGCCUGCAGCCUGGCCGGAGGGGAGGGUUGCUGGGUGUGGGAGCAGCUUUCCACAGUCGGUGUGCUCUUCGCCCAGCAGCAAUAAGCAUUAUUAUAGUUGUCUUGGAUAAAAAUAUCAAAAGUUAAAUAAAAGCAAAAAAAAAAAGCCGUAAUCCAAUUUUCUCCAAAUAACCACCCUGUGCACCUCCUGCAAAUGCUUCCUGUGUGCAAGACUGUGUGAGGACCCCUCUCUCUCUGUGGACACUCUCCCAGGCUCUGCAGGUUGAAAGGAGUUUCCCUCUGUCUGUUCAUGGCCACCUGGUAGACAUGGGAGACCCUGUCUUCCCACUCCGCCCCGAGUUUCCUGAGGGCAGGAGAUGGGUCUCUCUCACUCUGUGGUCAGGCAGGAGGAGUGCAGACCGUAACCCUGUCUUUCUGACCCAGUGCCCUAACCUGUCAGCAUGAACCACACCACAGGUGCCCAGACAUCAGAGUUUCACAGACAGAAAUAGUUUCCCCAGAGUUUUGGGGCUUUUUUAGGCUCAACUAUCAUGCAUUAUUAUUCUUUCAUAAAAAAAGGGUCAUUUUCCCAGCCUGGGCAACA